AUAUUGGAUUUCAAGACUGAAAAGUAUAAAGCCCUAUAUCAUGUUCCAAUACAUAGCACGUCCUUGUAUCGACACAUAACCGCUUAAAAGAGCUUACUCCUGGCGUAGUCACUUGUCUACACGCUGCUAACUGACUUAAAAAAGAGAGAAUUAUUUAUCGAAGUCUGAGCGCCUGAACAAACAUUCAAAGGAUAUCAUUCAGCUAAUGGUAACAAUGGCAAAGACGUUUUUCAAAGUGUUCGUUUUCAUGAUUUUUGUGGCUGGAGUCUUUUGUUCAACGCCAGUGAGCUUUUCAGCGAUAAACUGUAAUCAGUACCCAGCCCCUAAAAACGGCCAAAUUCAAUGCUUCCAAGAUUCUGGUUCAACGGAUGUGACGUGUACCACGUCAUGUAACGCCGGAUAUGACGUCGAGUUUCUGUCGGCAUCAAAAUA